GAUGAACGCUGGCGGUAUGCUUAACACAUGCAAGUCGAACGGUACCUUCGGGUAUAGUGGCGGACGGGUGAGUAACGCGUGAGAAUCUGUCUUCAGGUCGGGGACAACAGUUAGAAAUGGCUGCUAAUACCGGAUGUGCCGUAAGGUGAAAGAUUUAUUGCCUGAAAAGAGCUCGCGUCAAAUUAGCUAGUAGGUGGUGUAAGAGACUACCUAGGCGACGAUCUGUAGCUGGUCUGAGAGGACGAUCAGCCACACUGGAACUGAGACACGGUCCAGACUCCUACGGGAGGCAGCAGUGGGGAAUUUUCCGCAAUGGGCGAAAGCCUGACGGAGCAAUACCGCGUGAGGGACGAAGGCUUUUGGGUCGUAAACCUCUUUUAUUAGGGAAGAUUUCAGGACGGUACCUAAUGAAUAAGCAUCGGCUAACUCUGUGCCAGCAGCCGCGGUAAU
rnacentral:rRNA from 1 species